rnacentral:lncRNA from 1 species
UGUGAUCGUUCGGUGAAAGCUUCAGUGUUUUCUGCUGUUUUCUGUUCUGAUCUGAGGAAAAGCGCCUACGUUGUGAGAUCAUAUCUGACGGAGGAGAAGCUGAGGGUCACUGCUGAUGAUAUCGCAGAGGCAGCUGAGCAGUUCUCUCUCCACAGAGUUCAGCUUGCCAGGUUGCGAUCAACUCCAGCUGUAAAGAGGGGAAGUGGAAAGGCGACUCCUCAGAUCCGUUCUCGCCUCCUCACACUGGUUUCCAGGAUGAGACAAUAUGAUGAGUGUCAGCGAUCACGCUGGAGUAUUUUGCAAGUCAAAUCAGCACAGCUUUCCGCGUGUUGGGCUCGCUGUCUGGCGCCGCGCAAGGAGUCGUGCUGCAGUACAAACCCCGACCAUCUGGUCCGACGAGCAGCCUGAAGCUAACUCUGGUGUCCCACACAAACAAACUGCAUUAGGAGCUGCAUGUGUUUGUUGAAUGCAAACUGUUUUGUUUUAGUCGAAUUAUACAUGUGUUAAGU